rnacentral:rRNA from 1 species
GUCAUACCCGGUUCCAUGCCGAACCCGGCAGUCAAGCCCUCCAGCGCCGAUGGUACUGCGGAGGCUAUCCGUGGGAGAGCAGGUCGCCGCCGGAA